CGAUUAAACGAUAAUAACAUUUGGGAAGAAAAUGGACUUAUUGCAAAUAGACUUAAAAGAAAUCUUAAAAAGGAUGAACAAAUAUGUGCUUUUCACCGGUACACGUUUGGUAUUGCAUGGAGUCCUCCAAAAACAUGUUUUCAUCCUCACCAUCUAAAUAUAAAAGGAAAAAAAUCUCCCGCUUUAAGGGCGUCACCAAUACAUGUCAAUAUCAAUGUCAAAGCGAUACAAUGAAGUAUUUUCAGUUAGUGAAAUGCUGUGUUUUACCCAUUUAAAGCAAGAAACAGCUUUAUCUAGAGUCAACAAAAACACCAAUUUAUGUACAGAAACACAAACACAACAAGAACAAACAUAUAUGACACCUGCUACUCCAGAUGAAGAAUUUGAUCCCGGUGAAAUUAAUGUUUCACAGGAGAUUUUGGACGAAUCUCUAAGAAGCCGUGAGAGUGUAACUGAGGUUCUUAAUGCAAGUCCAAUAAAAUUUAGAUUAAAAAGGAAGUUCGAAUAUCUGGAAGAUACUACUAAAGAUCAGUGGCGGAUUGAGGUUUAGCGUCGCGGGGGGGCCAAGUCAAUAAAUAGGGGCGACCGGGGUUGCCUUCAAUAAUUUAAUCUUAUAUAUAUAUAUACAUUUUAAUUGUUUUAGGGGGCGCCGUUAGACCGUUCUAGGGGGCGUGGGGGGGGGCAGCUUGCCCCCCCUCACGCCCUAUACUAAAUCCGUCACUGCUAAAGAUAAGUUAAAACGCAAGAAUGUUCGCCUAGAAAACUUAUUAAAGAAAAAAUUUGCGGAAGCUGUUGCUCCUAGACAAGAGGAAAUACUUAUAGAUUUUCUUAACAGUAAAAAUGUUGAUGAAAUAAAUAGCCCUCUCCCAAUUGAAAUUAUUCGUGCUCAGAAAGUAUAUAAGCAAAGUGAUUCCAUGGGAAAGUGAGUUAUCCUUUCAUUAUUAGACCAUACCAAUUAUACCAAAAAGUUUAUAAUGAACACAUUUGAGUGUACCAAACAUCGUAUAGAAACAGCAAGAAAAUGGCAUGCAUCUCAUAAAGGGUUGGCAUUUCCAGAGAAAAAAGUAUUCGUCCGAUCUAGUUUUGAUCAAACAAAGUGUGAACAUUUCUUAGACUUUAUAUUUACAAGCGGUAUUUUGCAUGAUGUUGCUUAUGGAAUAACCAAAUUAAAAUACGACAGCGGUGAAGAACAAAAGAUAGUGCAUGCAAUUCUGACGACAAAAUAUAGCCACGCUAUCAUGUUCUAUCGAAAAAGUUGUAGUGAAAACAAUUAUAUACCAUUAUCUGAUUCAAGUUUGUGGAAAGUAUUGCAUGCAAUAAAUCCUUCAAGUCGAAAAAGCUUAGCUGGAUUAGAUGAUGUUACUGCUUCAGGCAUGAAUGGUUUUCAAACAUUACAAAAAUUGGCACAAAGAUUUAGUUCUAAAUCUCUCGAAGCUGCCCUUGAAAAAAGAAAAAGGUAUUUGAAAACAAGUUAUCAAACCAAUUGUGGUGUCAAUGACUCAAACAUUUCUUCUCAUAGCUCAAAACAUGACUUAUCAGAUCCAUCUAAAAAAAAUCUUUAAUCCAACACAGAGAUAUCAGAAGUGGUAUGUGCCGAUUGCUAUGAUUUGUGCAAAGCUAUCAAGAUGAUCAAAGAACUAACAAUUCAAAAUUCUGACAAUGUUGAUUCUAUUUAUGAUUUGGAAAUUUCUGUAAAGGAUGUAUUCAACUACAUAAAACACCUGAUGAGAGAUUCUCAACAGAAAAAGGCAAAAAUUAAAGCUUUUAAGAAAUUAAACAAUGAAACUGCUUUCUGGCUUAAAGAUUUUUGUCAAAAAUUUCUUCCGGUUCGAUACAGAGAGGGCCAAAGAGAUUAUUUUGGCAAGAAAGGAAUGUGUUUACAUGUGGAUAUAUUCUUCAUAAAAAUAGCAGGAAAGUUAUUCAAACGUGUUUACUUUACUUCAAUGUAUAGGUGUGAUCAGGGAAUAGGUGAUGUUGUUUCGUUAGCCACUGCAGUUUUAGACCAAUUCAGAAUUGAUCAACCGCAUAUCAAGAAAAUGAUUACCAAAUCUGAUAAUGCCGGCUGCUAUCAGGGAAAUCUUUCAGCUGAAGCAAUCUAAAAUGUAUGCAAAAAGAGAGAUAUAAAGUUGCUGAGAUAUGAUUAUAAUGAACCCUGUUGUGGAAAAGAUCAAUGUGACAGGGAGAGUGCAGUUGUAAAGACAAUUUUAAGGAGUUACGAUGACUCUGGUAAUAAUCUUUUGACUGCUGAAGAUAUACACAAGGCUAUGCAUUAUAGUUUUGGCGCUAAAGAUGCAAAAGUAGCAGUUGCUCAAAUUAGCAAUGAUAAAACUGUAGUUACUGGACCAAAGAUUAAGAACAUUAGCAACUAUAACUCAUUUGAGUUUGGUGAGAAAAGUAUGAAGAUGUGGCGUUAUUUCAAUAUCGGUGAGGGAAUUGAACAAGAGUAUGGAAAUCUUAAAAUUCAACCCUCGAUUAAGUUGUUGUUGCCAUAUAGCAAAACAGAUAAUUCAAUUAGGCGUAACAAGUCACUUAAGGAAAAACAGAAAAAAAGUGACAGGCAAUUAUAUUUAUUAAGAUUUUGCACUGAAAUGAAUUGCACUUUAUCAUUUGAAAGCGAUGCUGAGUUACAAGAACACAUGCUAUCCGGUCUUCAUACAGUUCCGAAAUCAUUAACAUCAUUGGAUAAAGUUCGCAACUCGUUUGUUCAUAAGAUGAAAAUUACUUCACAACUAAAUAUGCCAAUUUCUUCAUCCUCUAACAGUGCUUCCGUAAAAGACAAACCGCAUUACAUGAACCGCAUUGCAUGAACCGCAUUGCAAGAACCGCAUUGCAUGAACCGCAUUGCAUGAACCGCAUUGCAUGAGCCGCAUUGCAUGAACCGCAUUGCAUGGACCGCAUUGCAUGACAACCGCAUUGCAUGACAACCGCAUUGCAUUGCAACCGCAUUGCAAGACAAACCGCAUUGCAUGAACCGCAUUGCAUGAACAAUUGCAUGCUUCCGUAAAAGACAAACCGCAUUGCAUGAACAUUUUUCUAUUGCAAGGUUGGGCAUUACCAGUUUGAAAUUCUUUUAGAUUUUCAAAUCAGCAGAAAGAACUGUUGUAUAAAUACUUUAUUCGUGGAGAAGAAUCAGGUAAUAAAAUGAGCCCUGAGCAGGUUCACAUGCAGCUGAGGAGAGAAUUUCCGCCUGAUCAAUAUGUAACUAGCCAGCCGAUAAGAUCUUUAUUUUCAAGAUUUAGUAACCUGAAAAGAAAAGGUAAGCUGGUAGAACCGACAACAGAAAAUAAUGAAAAUAGUCAGGUUAACGAUAACAAAGAAGUUUAUGGCGAAAAUGAUGACUUUAAUCUGACAGGAGACAGUGAAGAUGAUAAUAAAUAUGAGGAAGACAUCGCCAAUCUUGCAAAAGAAAUUUGUCUUGUAUGGAAAGUGAAUGAUUGGGUUGCUGUUGCAUAUGAAAAACAAUAGAAUAUUGGAUAUAUUGUGGAGGUAUCUAUAACUGGGAUCAGAGUUAAUUGCAUGAUUAAAGGGCAAGAGAAGAAUACUUUUCGCUGGCCAGUUACUACCGAGGAGAUAAAUAACCAAACUGAUAAAAUUAUCUGUUUAGUAAAUGCUCCUUUUCUAAUCAGUGGUUGUGGCGAUUAUUCAUUAUCCGAAGAAGACUAUAAUACAGUCAUAUCAUUAUUCUUAGAGAAACUUACUGCAUCAGAGUAGAAAUUAUGUGUGAUGUGGUGGAUAAUGUGUGUAAAUGACUCUAUUAAUAAAUGAAAAACUAAUUUUUAAAUGGAAAAACAUUUAAAUGUUUGAUUUAUGUUUUAUUUAAUUAGCAAUAUAGUUAUCUUGAUGUUA